GGUGCGCGAUGCAGGAGCGUUCUGCGGUGUUUCUGGCCAUGGCGGCCAGGACUUGUAUGGAGGCCGGGGCUUCGUGCUGCUCGAGGCUGGCUGGAUCUCGUCCUUCUGAGUGCGGGGCGGUGUCGAGCAGUCAUCCUCCCUCGCCGCUGACGAUGCCUCCGGCCUCAAGCUGCAGGUGGUGGGGUGGCUGCCGGUGAGGGGCAACACCGGGGCACCACGAGUGUGGAGGCGGGCUGCACAGGGAGACGGAAGUAGGCGUGCUGGCGCCGGACGGUCUUCUUCCCUGCCGUGGCCGCCUCAACAACAACAGCAGCAACAACAUCCUCCCCGAUCCCUGCUGCAUUCCCUGUCGUGGGCGCCCAAGCUGCCUUCCCUGCCAGCAGCCUGCUGCAGCAGCAGGAAGGGCUCACCGACCUCGAGCAUCAACGCGCAGGCUCGUGGGCGGGCUCUUUGUGCCCCCGAGGGACCCAAGAAAGAUCAACAAGAUGGCAAGGAAGAACGUCAAGGACACCACCGGCAAGGACUGGUUUGACAUGCUGGUGCCGAGCAUCACGCCUGAGUUGAAGAAAAUACCUUUUGCAGGUGUUAGAGCAAUCAAAUUUUACACAUUCAACGUCUCUUGUUGAUGAACACACGACAAUUGAGUUUUUAUCUCUAAAUGGAACCAAUACUGCUCAAUCACUUCAGGACAAGAAAAGAGGACCCGAAGAUUCAAGGUGUAGUGCUCUUUGUGCCGGCCUCUCGCAACCCGUUGGCUGCUACGAGGCCACCAUCUCUCAUGGCGUGAUCUAGCAACGUUGCUGCUGUGGUGUACGGGCUUGGGGCAGUGGUACCUGCCACAUGGCGUCCAGAGCUCGGCUCAUGGAGCAGCUCUGGUUGCAGGGAACUGAGUUUGGCUCCGACCCGACUUGCCGCUGAUGCUCUUCGCCGCGGCGCUGCCUUCGUUGCCGAGGCUGCAGGACAUAGUGCUGGUGGCCAUGGUUGUGCUGCUGCACCUGGUGGUGAUCUGAAGAGAGUAGGAGGAGAGCUGUGUACAUUCGUGAUUCAUAUAUGAACUCUUAUCUCUAAAUCUGGUUCUUCUGCUUGCAUAUUUGUUAUGGUUUUGUAGUGUGGCAAGAAUUGCAAGGACGAGUUCAUCAACCUUUUAUCACACUAACUCAGUUAAUUCUCUUCUAGA